rnacentral:lncRNA from 1 species
GAAACUUACGCCACUAUGAAACAAUGCAAUGUUCAUUUUUAAAGUCUUAAUUUCAUUAUUCAGACUAAAUACACACAAAUAUGCAAAUAAGCAAUGUCUGAGGUAUAAUUUUCAAUAUACAUACCAUUAUCUCUUGUAGAACUUUCCAAAUAGUUUAACAUAUUGAUUCUUUUUCAGUUCAAAUGGUCAUUAUUUGCUUUUAAUUAAGGGAAAACAGACAAGAAGUGCAACCUGAAAAUUCCCACAAUCCAAACUCUCAGGCACAAAGUCAAAUGGCUAAUUAUUAACAGAGCUGGGCCAAACACAUAUUUUAAAGUCUAAUGCCAUUACCUAAGGGGAGGGUAUUAUGCACCUACCAGGGGUCAGGCACCGAGCCAGGUUGGUAGUUACAAAAUUAUAAAUAUUUAUACUUAACCAAGUUGCCAAUAAUGGUUUCAAAAGAUUCUAGUAAAACUCUAUCAUCCAGAACAGAGAUCUUAACAUGCCACCCGCAGAAAAGAUGCCACAACACAAAUGCCCGAGGCUAGGCAGGGGACUGCGAGUACCUGGGGGGUAGGGACAGCAGGCGGGGACAUUCACGUGCAAUGCCAAGUUAAAAAGCACCCGCCCUGUGACGCUCCACAGAACUCUCGUUCCGGGCUAGUCCUGCAGCCACACAGAAAGGCUCACUGGAAGAUCCAAUUUUUUUCUUUUGGCUAAAGAAAUAGUUUUGCUUUCAAAGGAGCUGAGUGCCUCAAAGAGCUGUGAUCCUAAAAAGUCAUCAAAUCCAUUUGGAUAAACGGUCAAAAGCAAAAAAGAGGUAGCUGUUAUUUAUAUGAGAAUUCUAAAACCAAACCUUUUGUAAAGUAAAAUAGUUGUCUCAAAUUAUCUGAAUCCACAUUUUCCACAAAUACUCCAAACAAUAACUUCUAAAUUCUGACUUUUGAAAAUAUUCAUUUACCUUUCAUAAAAUGUAAUUUUAAAAAAGAAUGGUUAGAUAAAGCAGUCUUUUGCUCUCUAGCCUAUGUGGAUUAAAAAUAAUCAUCCAAAAUGUCUUAGGAACCUCCUUAGUUAAUAAUCGUAAAAUCUCGAAAAGAAAUCUCAAUACUUGAACCAGAGUAAUUAGAUGAGGAAAUUUUUAAAAAGGAUCAAGCAACUUGGCCAGCCACUCCCCCACUGGCUCCAAGAGCUCCAUGUCCAAGUGCUGUGCUCAGUCUCUGAAUGUACCACACCCCUCAGAGGGAAGUGAAAAUAUAACACAAGACUACUUAGAAAAGAAUUGGUACCUACAGAGAAACACACAAAACACUGAAAUCAAAGGACCUGGCGGCAAAGUCAACAACCCACCUCACCCCAGACUCACCUUCCCUGGUGUGGUAAGUGAACCACCAGAGGGAGGGAGGGUGCCAAAGGUUCUAAAACUUGCUCCAUCAGCAAAGAAUUUGGUAAAAGCAACAAAAAGUCUAACAAUACCAAUGAUAAGUAUUAAGCACCCACCAGGGGUCAGACUCUGGAGCUGGGGGAGACGUUUUAUCACAUGACUGGCACUAAAAGGCAGAAGGUGUCUAAACUAUCUUUGGCUUCCCCUUUAGAACCCAGUGGAGUGACUGCAGACAGAGUAGAUGCUGCGUAAGUCUCUAAACAAAGUAUCCAAAGUU